UUCUGACCCAGGAGAUACAUCGCUAACAGAUUACGAAUCGAAGAUGAAGAUCCACACCUUGACUGCUCUGGAUUGUGACUUGGCAACGUGAGAUUGGCACGGUGAAGGC
rnacentral:lncRNA from 1 species